rnacentral:rRNA from 1 species
GAUGAACGCUAGCUACAGGCUUAACACAUGCAAGUCGAGGGACCGGCGCACGGGUGAGUAACACGUAUCCAACCUGCCCUUUACUCGGGGAUAGCCUUUCGAAAGAAAGAUUAAUACCCGAUAUAAAGGAUGGGGAUGCGUUCCAUUAGGUUUUUGGUGAGUUAACGGCCCACCAAGCCUUCGAUGGAUAGGGGUUCUGAGAGGAAGGUCCCCUACAUUGGAACUGGGACACGUUCCAAAUUCCUACGGGAGGAAGCAGUGAGGAAUAUUGGUGAAUGGGCGUUAGCCUGAACCAGCCAAGUAGCGUGAAGGAUGAAGGCUCAUUGGUCGUAAACUUCUUUUAUAUAAGAAUAUGUAUUAUAUGAAUAAGGAUCGGCUAACUCCGUGCCAGCAGCCGCGGUAAUAC